rnacentral:rRNA from 1 species
CGGAACACGUACGCAACCUUCCUUUAACUGGAGAAUAGCCCCUCGAAAGAGGGAUUAAUACUCCGUAACAUAUACAUGUGGCAUCACAAGUAUAUUAUAGCUCCGGCGGUUAAAGAUGGGCGUGCGCCUGAUUAGAUAGUUGGCGGGGUAACGGCCCACCAAGUCUGCGACCAGUAACUGGUGUGAGAGCACGACCAGUCACACGGGCACUGAGACACGGGCCCG